rnacentral:rRNA from 1 species
CCUACGGGAGGCAGCAGUGAGGAAUAUUGGUCAAUGGCCGAGAGGCUGAACCAGCCAAGUCGCGUGAGGGAAGAAUGUCCUAUGGAUUGUAAACCUCUUUUGUCAGGGAGCAAAGUAACCCACGUGUGGGAGUUGGAGAGUACCUGAAGAAAAAGCAUCGGCUAACUCCGUGCCAGCAGCAGCGGUAAUACGGAGGAUGCGAGCGUUAUCCGGAUUUAUUGGGUUUAAAGGGUGCGUAGGCGGGUUAUCAAGUCAGCGGUAAAGUCGUGGAGCUCAACUCCAUCCAGCCGUUGAAACUGAUGAUCUGGAGUGGGCGAGAAGUAUGCGGAAUGCGUGGUGUAGCGGUGAAAUGCAUAGAUAUCACGCAGAACUCCGAUUGCGAAGGCAGCAUACCGGCGCCCGACUGACGCUGAAGCACGAAAGCGUGGGUAUCGAACAGGAUUAGAUACCCCAGUAGUC